rnacentral:rRNA from 1 species
UACGUAGGGGGCGAGCGUUAUCCGGAUUUACUGGGCGUAAAGAGCGCGUAGGCGGUUCCUUAAGUUGGUUGUGAAAGUUCGUGGCUCAACCACGAAAUUGCGUCCAAUACUGAGGGACUAGAGUGCAGCAGAGGAAAGUGGAAUUCCCGGUGUAGUAGUGAAAUGCGUAGAUAUCGGGAGGAACACCAGUGGCGAAGGCGGCUUUCUGGGCUGUAACUGACGCUGAGGCGCGAAAGCUAGGGGAGCGAACGGG